AGUGAGCGCUGGCGGUAGGCCUAACACAUGCAAGUCGAACGGCAGCACAGUAAGAGCUUGCUCUUACGGGUGGCGAGUGGCGGACGGGUGAGGAAUACAUCGGAAUCUACUUUUUCGUGGGGGAUAACGUAGGGAAACUUACGCUAAUACCGCAUACGACCUACGGGUGAAAGCAGGGGAUCUUCGGACCUUGCGCGAUUGAAUGAGCCGAUGUCGGAUUAGCUAGUUGGCGGGGUAAAGGCCCACCAAGGCGACGAUCCGUAGCUGGUCUGAGAGGAUGAUCAGCCACACUGGAACUGAGACACGGUCCAGACUCCUACGGGAUGCAGCAGUGGGGAAUAUUGGACAAUGGGCGCAAGCCUGAUCCAGCCAUACCGCGUGGGUGAAGAAGGCCUUCGGGUUGUAAAGCCCUUUUGUUGGGAAAGAAAAGCAGCAGGUUAAUACCCCGCUGUUCUGACGGUACCCAAAGAAUAAGCACCGGCUAACUUCGUG
rnacentral:rRNA from 1 species